AUUGAAGGAGCUUGCUCCUAGAUUAGAUAAACAUUUGAGUGAGUGGCGGACGGUGAGUAACACGUGGGUAACCUGCCCUAAAGUGGGGGAUAACAUUUGGAAACAGAUGCUAAUACCGCAUAAAACCUAACACCGCAUGGUGUAGGGUUGAAAGAUGGUUUCGGCUAUCACUUUAGGAUGGACCCGCGGUGCAUUAGUUAGUUGGUGAGGUAAAGGCUCACCAAGACCGUGAUGCAUAGCCGACCUGAGAGGGUAAUCGGCCACACUGGGACUGAGACACGGCCCAGACUCCUACGGGAGGCAGCAGUAGGGAAUCUUCCACAAUGGACGAAAGUCUGAUGGAGCAACGCCGCGUGAGUGAAGAAGGUUUUCGGAUCAUAAAACUCUGUUGUUGGAGAAGAAUGUAUCUGAUAGUAACUGAUCAGGUAGUGACGGUAUCCAACCAGAAAGCCACGGCUAACUACGUG
rnacentral:rRNA from 1 species